rnacentral:rRNA from 1 species
UACGUAGGCAGCGAGCGUUGUUCGGAGUUACUGGGCGUAAAGGGUGUGUAGGCGGUUGUUUAAGUUUGGUGUGAAAUCUCCCGGCUCAACUGGGAGGGUGCGCCGAAUACUGAGUGACUAGAGUGCGGGAGAGGAAAGUGGAAUUCCUGGUGUAGCGGUGAAAUGCGUAGAUAUCAGGAGGAACAUCGGUGGUGUAGACGGCUUUCUGGACCGUAACUGACGCUGAGACACGAAAGCGUGGGUAGCAAACAGG